rnacentral:rRNA from 1 species
UACAGAGGUCUCAAGCGUUGUUCGGAUUCACUGGGCGUAAAGGGUGCGUAGGUGGCAUGGCCAGUUUGAUGUGAAAGCUCAGGGCUUAACCCUGAAAUGGCAUUGAAUACUGCUGUGCUGGAGGUUUGGAGGGGGACUGGAAUUCUUGGUGUAGCAGUGAAAUGCGUAGAUAUCAAGAGGAACACCAGUGGCGAAGGCGAGUCCCUGGACAACACCUGACACUGAGGCACGAAAGCUAGGGGAGCAAACAGG